rnacentral:lncRNA from 1 species
UCAUAUGAAUAUGUAGUAUAAAAGAACUUAUAUUUAAUUUUUUCCAUGAUUUCACAACGAACUAGUUUACUUGAAAGAAGAUACUUGUAAACAUUUCACAAUUGUUUGAAAGCAUGGUUAACUUCACACUUUACUAUCACUUCAUGCUUGAGUAACUGAAACAAAUGAAUAAGUAUGUUUACUUGUCAAACAAAUGUUUUAUCAGUGUUGACCUUCCUAUUGUACCAAUUAAAUUAUAUAUAUUCUAGUAUACUAUCAGAAAUUGUUGCAAGUUAGAUAAUAUGUAAGUUUUACCAAUGUCACGUCUGUGGGAUCAUGCCAAGAAUUAACAGAAAUUGAACAGUUUUCAACAAAAACUGAGACUGGAAACAUGUUCAAACUCAUUAUGGCUUAUGGUAUUUAUUGUGGGUAAUGUUGGUGCAAGCUCAACAAUUUUUUCGAAAGGUUUCUCCCAAGCGUACAUUUUGAUGACCUGAAUUCCAGCAGUAAUUUCGCUCAUGAGUUUUACUCUAUGAUCUGUCCUCAGUGCUAUUUUGAACCUCAGUUGGCCCUGUAAUCUUGACAAAUAACCUACAAUGAAAACAAACUAGGAACACAAAAGACUAAGGUUAAGUGACUUCUUGAUGAAAACUAAUGGAAAUUAAUAACCAAAAAAUAUAAUACAGGAUGCAAUAAAUGACUACAAAUAUCAGAUCAGACAACAAAUUAAUUACGUUUGCUGCAAGGGGGAAGCUGUCAUCAACUGAAAUGAAUUAGAACCUACGGCAGACAGAAAAUGUAUCCGAUCCAACCGGAAACCUCUAAGGAUUCCAUAGAAUUGUGAACGGUAUCUUUGACAACAAAUUUUGAGUGAACGGCUACAACACCCGAAGAAACGACACACCCGAGGAGUAGUGUACGAUUUCUCCUGCCAAGAAUUCUUCAAGAACAUUAAGGUCAGAGCUAACCAUAACCAUAUUUAACCAAAUUUUUAAAUCACUCAAGAGAUAUAUGAAAUUGCAUUUGAAGUCCAAGAGUGGGUAUCGAAUUCCGAACAAAAAAAUUGUUAGGGGUUAUCCUACAAAUUUUCAUCUUUCACGGAUCAGAGAAUGAUUUUUAAAAUAACUUGAAGCAAUCAUUUAUUUGUAUGCAUUCAAUUAUAAUCGUACAAUAAAAACAACAGUAAUUAUAUAACACAAAUAAUAACAGUAAUACAGCCACUAUGGCCUAACAAUUCUAUAAUUGCAUUAACACACAAUGUAGGUAUCUGUUAAUUUUCCACAUUGAAAUAAGUCUUCGAAAUAUGUGAGAUAUAGCUAAUCUAGACCAGCAAACAUCUCACAGAACAAGGUGACUAACUGAACCUUUUCUCUUUACUUUCUUCCCAUACAUUUUUGAUAAACUAUUGGAACCAUUCUGCCAAAAAUAUUCAACUGACAUCUUUUAAUUAAUAAACUUUGAAAGUUUUGAAACUAUAUGUAGUAAUAUCAACCGACAUUAUUCAAUAAAUAACAUUCCAAAGAAGCACUGAGCACACCAGUGAAAUAAAAGUUUUGAUGUAUUUUCUAUUGUAUAAUGUAAUGUUGUUUUCACAUUGAGGUAGGUUUAUGAAAAAAAAAAUCAUCUGUCCGAAUUUCUGAGUCAGACAGGUGUUUCCAACAUAAUAACAAAGGUGUAGACGGGCUUCAAAUUUUUCAAACAAUAAGUAAAUAAGUUCAGAAUUUCAAGUCAGAAUUUAACACAUUUUUCUUCUUUUUUAUUGAAUUCAUACUGUUCAUGCAAAAUAUUUCUGUAUUGGAGAUACAGAAUUCCAAACAUUUUGUAGUGUUUUUGAUUGUACUUCAUGGGAAAUUUCUCCUUAAAUAAUUUGCAAAAAUAAAUGUAAUGUAGGUGUAUAUGUAUACAGGUGUAGAGAGGGUAAACUUUCAAUUGAGCCUGAUAAGUUACUGUCUGAAUUGAAUAUAUUUUUCACAAAGAAAAAUUCGCUAUUUGAGUAAAGUGUUGUAUUUAAUGAUUUUGUCUACAAAAAAGAGCUAAAAACUAUACGUUUUAUUAAAUUCAACUUGCAGUUUUUUUUUUUGGUAAAUGAACCGUGUGUCAGGUGACAGUCUUUUUGUUUUGGUCUGGGAAAAGUGUAAUCGGUAGAUUUAAGUUGUAGUUGUUCUUUUCAGUUCUGGAAAGUUCUGAAACCUUCGAAUAAGUAAUUGUGCUGUUCUCAAAUCUUUUUUAUACAGAUAAGAUUAUAAAAUGCCACCCGUUACUGAUUAAUAACGCAUUUUCAAUGAAAAAUAUAUUGAAUUUACGUAGUAACUUCAAUACAUUUUACAAAAUACAAAAAAUUUUCAUAAUCUAAAACUGAGCAGAAUUCAUAUGGAGAAAAAGAGUUGUGGUAUAAUAAUAUUCCUCAUUGAUUUGAACAAAGUACUGAAUGAAUAUCUAAUAGUAUUAUUACAGUGAGCCACCUUGUUCUGUUACAAUUAAAAUAAAAAUUUGUGCUACGUUAGGUUUCUCUAAGGUUAGUCUAUAAAAUUAUUUGGCUACCUUACCUGAUAUUUAACUUAUCUUAUAAGAAUAAUAAUAUAUUGGAGAUCUUAUCUUAUCACAUCUAAUAUAAAUUAUUUAGAAAAUAAAGAUUUCUUAUAUGAUUAUAAUAAAUAAUUCAAAUCA